rnacentral:rRNA from 1 species
UACAGAGGUCUCAACCGUUGUUCGGAUUCAUUGGGCGUAAAGGGUGCGUAGGCGGUCGCGCAAGUCGGAUGUGAAAUCUUAGGGCUCAACCCUGAAACUGCAUUCGAUACUGCGUGGCUCGAGUACUGGAGAGGAGACUGGAAUUUACGGUGUAGCAGUGAAAUGCGUAGAUAUCGUAAGGAAGACCAGUGGCGAAGGCAAGUCUCUGGACAGUUACUGACGCUGAGGCACGAAGGCCAGGGGAGCAAACGGG